rnacentral:siRNA from 1 species
UGUUGUUUUUGGUGUCUUUGU